CCACCCCCCACCCCUAGCCUCGAAUGAGAAACGAGAAGCUCCUCCGAGAGGACAGGGUCCGGUCCCGGGGGGUGCCGGGGCCCAAACCUGGGGAGGAGCCCGGCCCGGCCCUGCCCUGCCCUUCCGCAGGGCAGCGAAGCCUGAUGGGCUGGAGCGGCGUCUGUCCCUCCUCUGCGCUCCCUCCCCCUCAGCUGCAGGGUGUGCGCGCGCACGCGAGAUUGUCCAAAGCCACAGGGAAAAUGGUGGAAAAUUCACCGUCGCCAUUACCAGAAAGAGCGAUUUAUGGCUUUGUUCUUUUCUUAAGCUCCCAGUUUGGCUUCAUACUAUAUCUUGUGUGGGCUUUUAUUCCUGAAACUUGGCUAAACUCCUUAGGCUUAACCUACUGGCCUCAAAAGUAUUGGGCGAUUGCAUUGCCCGUCUACCUCCUCAUUACUAUAGUAAUCGGUUAUGUACUCUUGUUUGGAAUAAACAUGAUGAGUACCUCUCCACUCAACUCCAUUCAUACGAUCACAGAUAUUAGCUCAGUAAACUAUGUGGUGGAUCUCCAUAAACCACAGAAACCGUAGAAGAAAUUACUUAGGUUGUUUCUUGGGUUUUUUUCUCACUCAAACAUUCAUCUGAAUGAAUAUAGAGAAAUAACCAACUUUCAUCUGCCACUUCUUAUGGGAAGACAAUCUACUUUCGUUCUUUUGGGCAUUUAGAAAAUGUUUGUUGCUGUCAGCAACCCAAAAGAUGAGCUCCCUGCCCGAUGUGGGGCUUGAACUCAUGACCUCGAGAUCAAGAGUCAUAUGCUGUACUGACUGAGCCAACCAAGCACCCCUCACCUGUUCUCUUGAUAAAGACUUCUCCUCUUGUAUUGACAAACCAGCUUUCUAAUGGGUCCCAGCCACCGUGACAGCCUCCCAUCUGACUUUCCUGUGCCCAGUCUUGCGUCUCUACAGAAAGAAUGCUCAGAGCACAAACCUGAUCCUAUCACUUUCCUGUUCAAAACUCUACAAGGCUCUUCUCCACAGCCCUCUGUGGAUCGGCCGGGCCCCUGAGCUUGCUGCGCAAGACCCUUCGACCUGGUUCCUGAACAAUGACUCUCUUCCCGAGCAUGCUGCAAGCCUUCUCUUGACAUUUCAUGUAAUGGAACCACGCAGGGUAGUCUGUGGUAUCUGGAUUCUUUCACUUGGCACAAUGUCUUCACGGUCCAUUCAUGUGUCAGCAUGUUUUACUAUUUCAUUUCAUCUUUUUUUAUUACUGAAUUACAGGGGCGCCUGGGUGGCGCAGUCGGUUGAGCGUCAUCCCAUUGCAUGGAUAGACCACAUUUUAUCGAUCCAUUCACCAGUUGAUCUACAUCUGGAUUAGUUUCAGUUUGGAAUUCUUGCAAAUAAAGCUGCUAUGGACAUUGGUGUCCAUGUCUUUGUGUGGACAAAUGUUUUCAUUUCUCCUGGGUGGACACCUGCGAGUGGUAGUGUUGGGUUGUGUGGUAAAUUUAUGUUUAACUUUUUUUUUCUAUUUGGAUUUUUUAUUUAUUGCAGUAAUAUUGAUAGACCAGUUAAAUAAAGCAUGAGCCUCCAAGCAUUGCAUAUGCUCAUUUUAUACAUUUAUAAAUCUAUCCAUUUAAAAAUAUUUACUGAGUGUUAUAACGUUCUAAGUUUUGUACUAGAGAGAAGACUCAACUUGAAAAGAAGCGAAUGAUGUGACACAUAUAAUGAAACUUAGGCAAGAAUUCUUUUUUUGGGGGGGGGGAUAUUUUUCAUUUUAUUCUGUUUUAUCAGUUUUUUUUAAUUUACACCCAAGUUAGUUAGCAUAUAAUGUUAUAAUGAUUAUAGUAUAGCAUAUAGUGUUAUAAUGACUUCAGGAGUAGAUUCCAGUGAUUCAUCUCCUACGUACAACACCCAGUGCUC